AUACUGGCAAGUCGAACGCAUAUCUUUUCCCACCGGAGCUUGCUCCACCGGGGAAAAGAGGAGUGGCGAACGGGUGAGUAACACGUGGGUAACCUGCCCAUCAGAAGGGGAUAACACUUGGAAACAGGUGCUAAUACCGUAUAACAAUCGAAACCGCAUGGUUUCGUUUUGAAAGGCGCUUUACGGUGCCGCUGAUGGAUGGACCCGCGGUGCAUUAGCUAGUUGGUGAGGUAACGGCUCACCAAGGCCACGAUGCAUAGCCGACCUGAGAGGGUGAUCGGCCACAUUGGGACUGAGACACGGCCCAAACUCCUACGGGAGGCAGCAGUAGGGAAUCUUCGGCAAUGGACGAAAGUCUGACCGAGCAACGCCGCGUGAGUGAAGAAGGUUUUCGGAUCGUAAAACUCUGUUGUUAGAGAAGAACAAGGGUGAGAGUAACUGUUCACCCCUUGACGGUAUCUAACCAGAAAGCCACGGCUAACUACGUGCCAGCAGCCGCGGUAAUACGUAGGUGGCAAGCGUUGUCCGGAUUUAUUGGGCGUAAAGCGAGCGCAGGCGGUUUCUUAAGUCUGAUGUGAAAGCCCCCGGCUCAACCGGGGAGGGUCAUUGGAAACUGGGAGACUUGAGUGCAGAAGAGGAGAGUGGAAUUCCAUGUGUAGCGGUGAAAUGCGUAGAUAUAUGGAGGAACACCAGUGGCGAAGGCGGCUCUCUGGUCUGUAACUGACGCUGAGGCUCGAAAGCGUGGGGAGCAAACAGGAUUAGAUACCCUGGUAGUCCACGCCGUAAACGAUGAGUGCUAAGUGUUGGAGGGUUUCCGCCCUUCAGUGCUGCAGCUAACGCAUUAAGCACUCCGCCGGGGAGUACGACCGCAAGGUUGAAACUCAAAGGAAUUGACGGGGGCCCGCACAAGCGGUGGAGCAUGUGGUUUAAUUCGAAGCAACGCGAAGAACCUUACCAGGUCUUGACAUCCUUUGACCACUCUAGAGAUAGAGCUUCCCCUUCGGGGGCAAAGUGACAGGUGGUGCAUGGUUGUCGUCAGCUCGUGUCGUGAGAUGUUGGGUUAAGUCCCGCAACGAGCGCAACCCUUAUUGUUAGUUGCCAUCAUUUAGUUGGGCACUCUAGCAAGACUGCCGGUGACAAACCGGAGGAAGGUGGGGAUGACGUCAAAUCAUCAUGCCCCUUAUGACCUGGGCUACACACGUGCUACAAUGGGAAGUACAACGAGUCGCGAAGUCGCGAGGCUAAGCUAAUCUCUUAAAGCUUCUCUCAGUUCGGAUUGUAGGCUGCAACUCGCCUACAUGAAGCCGGAAUCGCUAGUAAUCGCGGAUCAGCACGCCGCGGUGAAUACGUUCCCGGGCCUUGUACACACCGCCCGUCACACCACGAGAGUUUGUAACACCCGAAGUCGGUGAGGUAACCUUUUGGAGCCA
rnacentral:rRNA from 1 species